UAUCCCUACGGGAGGCAGCAGUGGGGAAUAUUGCACAAUGGGGGAAACCCUGAUGCAGCAACGCCGCGUGAAGGAAGACGGUUUUCGGAUUGUAAACUUCUGUUCUUAGUGAAGAAAAAUGACGGUACCUGAAUAAGAAGCCCCGGCUAACUACGUGCCAGCAGCCGCGGUAAUACGUAGGGGGCAAGCGUUAUCCGGAAUUACUGGGUGUAAAGGGUGAGUAGGCGGCAUGGUAAGCCAGAUGUGAAAGCCUUGGGCUUAAC
rnacentral:rRNA from 1 species